rnacentral:tRNA from 1 species
UAACAAAUAGCUUAUUUUAAAGCAUAGUGCUGAAGAUACUAAUAAGAAUAUUUUUCUUUGUUAA